GAUGAACGCUGGCGGCGUGCCUAAUACAUGCAAGUCGAGCGAACAGGCGCUGAGCUUGCUCCUCUGACGUUAGCGGCGGACGGGUGAGUAAAACGUGGAUCCCCUACCUAUAAGACUGGGAUAGCUUCGGGAAACCGGAGCUAAUACCGGAUAAUAUCUUGAUCCGCAUGGUUCGAUAGUGAAAGCCGGUUUUGCUGUCACUUCGAGCUGGCUCCGCGCCGCAUUGGCUAGUUGGUACGGUAACGGCUUACCAAGGCGACGAUGCGUGGCCGACCGGUGAGGGGGAUGGGCCACAAUAGAACUGGACCGCGGUCCUGAGUCCUACGGGAGGCAGAAGUAGGGAAUGGUCGGCAAUGGGGGAAAGACUGACGAAGCAACGCCGCGCGAGUGAUGAAGGUCUGCGGAUCGUAAAACUCUGUUAUUAGGGAAGAACAAAUGUGGAAGUAACGAUGGACUUCUUGACGGUACCUGAUCAGAAAGCAACGGCUAACUACGUG
rnacentral:rRNA from 1 species